GACGGAGGGGGCUAGCGUUGUUCGGAAUGACUGGGCGUAAAGGGCGCGUAGGCGGCUUUUUAAGUGAGGCGUGAAAGCCCUGAGCUUAACUCAGGAGGUGCGUUUCAUACUGGAAGGCUUGAGUACGAGAGAGGAAAGUGGAAUUCCUAGUGUAGAGGUGAAAUUCGUAGAUAUUAGGAAGAACACCAGUGGCGAAGGCGACUUUCUGGCUCGUAACUGACGCUGAGGCGCGAAAGCGUGGGGAGCAAACAGG
rnacentral:rRNA from 1 species